rnacentral:piRNA from 2 species
UGGUGAUAACUGCUACUGGUACAUGGCCCAU